CAAUUACAAAUUCAGAGGAAAUCCCAUAUAUCGUGGAGUCAGCUUUCUUUUGGAUAUUUUUUUUCACUUUUCGGCAUCAGUGAAAAACUGCUACAGCAUACGAUUUUUAAACACCUGUUUUUAAGAUACGUAUACUGGUUAUCAAAAUAGAUACAUACUGAUCGUGUAACCUAUUUGGAGCACAUGACAUUAACAUUCGGCUUGGAAUGGACUGACCAUUUAAUGCAUGUUACGGGAGAAUUUUGUUACAGACAGUAUCAUAUUUUUCAGGACACACAGCAUAUCCAGCAAAACAAUUUGUUUGAUGAUACAUGAGGCGAAAUUAUUCUCUUUGCAGCGAACGUUAUACCAACGUUGCCCCAGUAUUGGGCCAAUACCGCAUCUGCGAUCUACGAGAGACAUCAACCGCAAUAAAUCAACGUCUGGCCAAUGGUCACCGCCAUACAAAUGGAACUGGAAGAUUGCGGCGGUGUAGUAGAUGUUAAAGCGCUCGCUCUUGAAGCAGACAACCCACGGUACGAUGGGGAAUCAGACAACUUAGUACUUGGGAUGAAAGCGUGACAUUUCGAAGGUGAACACCCGUCAUGAGAAUGGAGUUUGUCUUUGGCUGGUGAGUUUUAUGGCAUGUUAUGCAAUGUCCUUCCUGCUCAUCGAAGUUUCAACUACCCAUGACCAGUUCCAUUGGUCGGAGAGCCGCUAUAAUACAUGAGGUCAGUGGUGCGGCUGCAGCUGCAGAGGCGUCAUAACACUCUCAUGUGUAAUAACCUUGGCUGCAGAGCCGUUAUAACACUCUCAUAUGUAAUAACCUUGGCUGCAGAGCCGUUAUAACACUCUCAUAUGUAAUAACCUUGGCUGCAGAGCCGUUAUAACACUCUCAUAUGUAAUAACCUUGGCUGCAGAGCCGUUAUAAUAGUCUCAUAUGUAAUAACGUUGGCUACAGAGCCGUUAUAACACUCAUAUGUAAAUAUUAUGUUGGCUACAGAGCCGUUAUAACACUCUCAUAUGUAAUUAUAUUGGGUAUGACGGUGUAUUCGGGGGUUUCCUUGGUAUUGCGUUUUAUUCCUGAGUAUAGCGGCGUAUUCCUUGGUUUGAUUGGGUAUUCCUUGGUAUUGCGGGGUAUUCCGAGGCUGUGAGAGCAGCACAUGCUUGCCCUUAGAGCCGACUAUUAUGAUAAUCAGAUGGUCACGGUUUGUGAGUAGGUCUAAGGCACUGCAAUGUGAGGAGUUGAAUCUCUCAGGAAUGCCGGACACCUAGGACCGUGGGUGAAUCCCAGUUCGUCCUGAUAGUUUUGAGGUUUGUCAGCGCCAUACCGAUGAGUUUCACUUCUUAUCAAUUCCCAGAUUUUGUAAUAAGUAACUUGUGUGAAACUGGGACGCUGUCUGUGUAAUAGUAAAUGCAAGAUAUAUAUGCUGAAUCAAAUCUUCCUCAGCUGAUACAGGUUGUCGUGUUUUAGGGAUAUGAAUCUAAUUGGUUGAUGCAUGUCAUCGUAUCACAACUGCAUAGAUCAAAACUCAUGGGGUAAUUAUAAUCACUGGACUGUCUGGUCCAAAUUGAUUGUAUACAGACUGCCACUAUAUGGUUGUAAUAUUGUUGUGUGGCGUUAAUCAACAAACAUGAUGUAAGUAUUUAUGAGUAACCUUGAUCUCCAGUGUCAUCUAAUUAGGUCAGAAAUAUUCCCCUGGAGGUAAACUGGAAGUACAUCAGACGAGAAAUGGUCCAUAUGAUAUUUUGAACAGUGAAACGAAGGGCCAACAGUACAUGCAACAUAAGUGAGCGAGUAGGUUUUUACACCGCUUUGGGCAAUAGUCCAGCAAUAUCAUGACCGGGGACACCAAUUAAGGCUUCACAUCGUACCCAUGUGGGGAAUGGAACCCGGGUCUUCGGCGUGACGAGCGAACGAUUUAACCACUCGGCGACCCCACCGCCCAGAAGCCUCCGUGCAGAAACGUGUGUCAGCUUCAUGUAUUCAGUGGUUUAUUGAACAUGUCCCUAGAUUUACUAAGGUGAUCAAAGUAACUGAUGGCUCUAGUGGUUGGACAAACCUUUUAUUUAUGUGUCAAUCUAUUGUUAGAUGUAAACAUUAUGACAGGGUCACUUCAAAUAAAGCUCUGUCCGUGGGCCACGGCACGUGACAAGACAGGCCAAUCAGGGCUGAGUAUGGUGAACGGGUCGCCCGUGCAGCAUGUGCAGAUCAGCCUUGUCUUCCGAUCUGGUCGAUCUGAAAAAGUAUUUUGCGUGCCGGCGGGCAGCCUUCCUUGGUGACACUAACAUUUGAUGACAGGUGGAGAACGUUUGAAGGUACAACAAAUGAAAAUCCAACGUGUAAGUCAAAAAAUGACUUUGUAAUCCAUUUUCAUGACAGUUUUUGUUGAGUGUGUCACACGGAGUCAGGCCAGCGUGCCCGACCCAGAGGGAGAGAAUUCGGUUAUCUCUGGGAACCCCAAACAGCUUCCACUAUCGGGGGAGGUUUUUAUAUGCCAGUUAAUUACCCCAAGCAAAUGACAUUUUCUGCAUACAUCGAGAACGUUUAGAAAAUGGAUUUGCUUUGAGUUUAAGACAGAACUUCAUGGACUUGUCCUUAUUUUACCACCAAACGAUCGAGAAGUAUUUUAUAGAAGUUGACAGAACUGUUGUACGUACAAGACGCAGCUACUGAUUUCCAUACUAAAAAAAGCUUCUCAAGCCACUGAUGAAUUUGGAAUCAACAUUUCUAUGAUGUUCUGUAGUCCAAAUCUGUUAAAGAUAAUUUACAUGUCAUUUUAUAGUAUUAAUUAACUGACUAUAAAAGCCCAGUUUACCACCCUUAGUGAGUCGGUACCAUUGCUCAGUGAAUACAAAUGCAGUAGUGUCAUAAUGUAUAUAUUAUAAAGUGUAUUUAAUUUCAGUUACUAUUUAAAUGCCUAGGUCUUAGUAUUAGUACUUAAUCUGACGUAAAAUCUUUGGUGGGCAUUUAGAAUUUGGGAGAACAUGAAUGCAUGGCCCUUUUUAUGGAUAAUAACUUCUUUUAUUCUUUGUACGACGUACAGAGCUACCUCUUGCUCCUUCGGGGCGGUCGGGUAGCCUAGUGGUUAAAGCGUUCGCUCGUCACGCCGAAGACCCGGGUUCGAUUCCCGACGUGGGUACAAUGUGUGAAGCCCAUUUCUGGUGUCGCCCGCCGUAAUAUUGCUGAAAUAUUGCUAAAAACGGCGUAAAACCAUACUCACUCACUCUUGCUCCUUCGUCAGAUAAAUGCUUGAUGAGGGAGCAAAAAGUAGGUCUGAAACUUUCGUUCAAACAGUACAAGAAGUUGCUAUCCAUAUAAAGGUGUCAUGUAUUUAAUCUAACAUGCCGCACUGAUACAACAGCAGUUGCCAUUGUGUUUGUCUGCAAUAUUGUUUCUCUGGGCUUUUAGCGACUGGGUGACUCGUCAGCUCACUUUUACACUUUCAUUGGAGUCUCUUGGGUGCAAGUGGAUACAUUAAAAUUGCAACAAUGUAUUCCUUGCGACCGACAAUAUUAUCUUUUUCAACCGUCUGAAGCAGUUUUUUCCUGAAAUCUUUCGAUGACAAUUUAUUUUAUCCGGUAAAAUGCUAGCCAUCAAAGAGUCUGUCCCUUACUAUGUCUGCUAAAAUGCUUCACAUAUGUAAGUUUAUAAUUGCUCUUUUCAAAAAGCAUUCUCAAGUGUGUGUGUUACUUAUCGUGUACACAUAUUAUAUCUAUCUAUCUACCUUUAAAUAAAUUGAAAUUGUUUACCUAACAUGGGGACCAGUUCAAAAGUUCGAUGAUGGAUAAAACUCUUGUGCAGUGUGUGAUAUGGAAUGGCAGAUCAAACCGAACUUUUUGUUGACAUUUAUAUAAUGUUCCUUUGGACCGACAUUUACCUUCAGGUGGGUGACCAUGGUAAUUACAUACCUGGGGUAACUGACAUCAUUGGGCUCGGUGCCAUACUCACGGGCCUUUCAUCAGUCUUUCGAGCUAACGCCAUCUGCUAUGAUGAAACUAUCAUCUAAAGAACUUCAACCUGCAUUUGGAUUCCAUCAACAAACUACUCUGGAUACUGUACACGUAUUUAGGGACCCGUGAAGAUCCGGAGUAGAAUAGGUCUUCAGCAACCCAUGCUUGCCAUAAAUGGCGACGGGUGGUCAGGCUCGCGGACUUGGUUGAUGAAUGACAUCGUAUCCCAAUUGCGUGGAUCGAUGCUCAUGAUAUCAAUCACUGGGUUGUCUGGUCCAGACACGAUUAUUUACAGACCAUCAUAUAGCAGGAAUAUUGCUGAGUGCGGCGUUAAACAACAAACCAACACGGAUUUAGACAGGAUGCAUGUCUUACACCUAAUCUCAAUUUGAGAAAAGGUAACGUGGAGUAUGACGUCUCUGAAACUUUCAUUUCUUUAAGGAUAGUAGAAAUCAAUUUUGGUUUCUCAAAUGAGAGGUGAUGGCGAAGGACUCCCGGAAAUAAUGGGUACUGAAGCUGUCCAGAAUUAACCUGUUCCUGGUGUUAUGAGUGACGUUGUAUAUUUGUGUGGUUCACAAGGGGUCCAGUUUGGGUGGUCGGCGUCAUGCUUGAUUGACUGUGAGAAGCGUGCUUGUGGGGUGAUUGAGUUGGUAACUGAUUGGUGUGUGCUGAAGUAGAUAGCUUACUUGGAAAUUUGUUUACUAUAUGAGGGCAAGUUAUCGAACAGAAAUGGGGGAGGGAGAAAUAUGGCUUAACUGAACGAGGGCAGUUCAGUCCGGAGACAAAGUUAGGUCAUGUCGAAGGAGGAAACUGGAACAAUGUGAAAUGGAAUUCAUUGGGAAUAUGAUGUCAAGAAAACUGAGGUGACUAUUACCUACAUUGCUUUGCUCAGAUGUGUCCCCAAUGAUUCGGAGUUGGUUUUGUCACUGGUCACACGUAUGGAAUUAUUCUAUUCUCACCGAGGCCCAAGUUUUAGCACAUCCAACGAGCUCAGAAAAAUGGAUUUUGUGGGUGUACGUUUGCAUAAUGAUUGCAAGUCGACAGCUUGGGUUACUUUAAAUAUAGAAAUAUCUUGUGUAGUUGAGCAGAAUAAAUGUUGUGUGCCAGCC
rnacentral:lncRNA from 1 species